rnacentral:rRNA from 1 species
CAGCCGCCACGGUAACACGUAGGUGGCGAGCGUUGUCCGGAAUUAUUGGGCGUAAAGCGUGCGCAGGCGGUUGUGUAAGACAGGUGUGAAAUCCCCGGGCUUAACCUGGGAACUGCGCUUGUGACUGCACAGCUAGAGUAUGGCAGAGGGGGGUGGAAUUCCACGUGUAGCAGUGAAAUGCGUAGAGAUGUGGAGGAACACCGAUGGCGAAGGCAGCCCCCUGGGCCAAUACUGACGCUCAUGCACGAAAGCGUGGGGAGCAAACAGGAUUAGAUACCCGAGUAGUCCCUGUCUCUUAUAC